GUAGUUGGCCGGAGCUUCUUCUGCAGGUACCGUCAUUUUCGUCCCUGCUGAAAGGGGUUUACAACCCUAGAGCUGUCAUCCCCCACGCGGCGUUGCUGCGUCAGGCUUUCGCCCACUUGCGCAAGAUUCCCUA
rnacentral:rRNA from 1 species